rnacentral:rRNA from 1 species
GAUGAACGCUGGCGGCGUGCCUAAUACAUGCAAGUCGAGCGAACAGACGAGGAGCUUGCUCCUCUGACGUUAGCGGCGGACGGGUGAGUAACACGUGGAUAACCUACCUAUAAGACUGGGAUAACUUCGGGAAACCGGAGCUAAUACCAGAUAAUAUAUUGAACCGCAUGGUUCAAUAGUGAAAGACGGUUUUGCUGUCACUUAUAGAUGGAUCCGCGCCGCAUUAGCUAGUUGGUAAGGUAACGGCUUACCAAGGCAACGAUGCGUAGCCGACCUGAGAGGGUGAUCGGCCACACUGGAACUGAGACACGGUCCAGACUCCUACGGGAGGCAGCAGUAGGGAAUCUUCCGCAAUGGGCGAAAGCUUGACGGAGCAACGCCGCGUGAGUGAUGAAGGUCUUCUGAUCGUAAAACUCUGUUAUUAGGGAAGAACAAAUGUGUAAGUAACUAUGCACGUCUUGACGGUACCUAAUCAGAAAGCCACGGCUAACUACGUG